rnacentral:lncRNA from 1 species
AGAGCGCAGAGCCAGCCGAAGGCGCCGCGCCGGCUCGGGCUCCGCCGCCGACACCCGGCUGCUGAGGUCGCCGCGAGGGUUCGGGGACGCCUGCUCACUGUGUGGCCUUCUCCCGGCCAGCUGUGCAGGCGGCUGGACCAGCAGCAGCGGCGAGGACUCGAGCGCGGGCUGCAGCAGCGACACCAUGGACCUGUCCUUUAUGGCCGCACAGCUGCCCAUGAUGGGAGGCGCCUUCAUGGACUCGCCCAACGAGGACUUCAGCACUGAGUACUCCCUCUUCAACUCCUCCAACAACGUCCACGCCGCCUCCAACGGCCAGGGCCAGCCGGAGGAGCCCCCGAGGUCCUCCAACGACGCCGUCCUGCUCUGGAUCGCCAUCAUAGCGACGCUGGGGAACAUCGUGGUGGUGGGGGUGGUGUAUGCCUUCACCUUCUGAGCCGAGGGAGCUCCGGGACGGCUCACCCCGCCUCGGGCUCACAGCCGGGCGCGGUCACCUUGGCCCCUGGCCGCACCCACGUUCUAGAACCAGGCGUCCUGACCCAGGCACACCGCCCCUCCAAGGGGAGCCGCCAUGCGUCUGGAUGUUCCCCCAGCAGCCCUGAUCUCAGAUCCUCCACGCUGUGGUCCAGCUGAUCCAGACGAUAAGGGGUCACGGGUUUCCAGCUCCUGGAGACAUGAGGGGGCCAAGCCUUGGAGGAGCAGAGUGGGGAGUUCUUGAAAGUGCAUUCCAAGGACAUGCGGCUGGAGGGAACGGCCAGUUUGGUUUGAUGACACGGAUAUGGUUGGAUGAUCAGUUGCUGGAAGACAGCGGUCACCGCUGUGUCUUCUUUUGAUGCAGACUUCUCACACCUGAGCGUGAGGGUGCGUGCAGCCCUCCAAACUGGAGUGUGCUUGCCCCCCGUCUGGUGUCCUGAUCAGCCCCUCGGAAUAUUGGUGGCAGUCCCUUGAAGGGACCUAGAACAUUCUUCACUUGACUUAGAAAUGGCAACGUUGUUAUCAGACACCUGACCCUUUGUGAAACCCAAGGAUGAGGGGUUACUGGUGACGUGGAUUUUGGGGGUGGUGGCAGCAGUGGUUUUUAUCUGUGGGGUGGACACUCUUCUUUUGAAAGAGAGCAGAAGGUUACCUUGAAAAAUUAGAUCUGCCAAGCCGAUACCUCUCUGGCCACCUGCCGAAGAUGCUCUUUCUUCUCUGAGAAAUCACAGAGCUUUAGAGAUGAAGGAGGCAUGUGUGCACCUCGUUGUUUGGCAGGGAGAGGAGGAGGGGCAGGGCUGCCUGUGGUCCCAGGCACAUUAAGGCAGGGAUCAGAGUGGGAGGGAUAUUUUCUGCCUGUCCUCUCUCAGGGCUGCCUGUGCCCCAGCUAAGCGCUGUCUGGAUCAGAUUCCUGGCUCUCAGCUGCCUUGAGGAGCCUAUCCAGAGGGUCCUGAAGCUGUGAGCAGGGUGGGCGGGGCGCUAAGACACCCUCAUGCUAGACUCAGUUUGGCUACUGUAUGUUCUUGCAGGGGUGAGUCGGUUUUCUGACUCGCUUGGAAGUCAGUGGCUGGGGGGCUGCAAAUCUGGGAGCCGCCUCACUGUUGAGACCAGAGCAGGUUGGGAUGUGCCAGGGCCAGGGUGGGGGCAGAGGAGGGGGAGUGGGCAGGAUCAGAACAGGCUCACUUCUCAUCCAUCCUCAGGCAAGUUCAGGGCCCAGAGCCCCGCUUCUUGAGACAGCCCUCCCUGUGCCCCCAAGGGCGCCAGGAGCUCAGACAUGGGCUCGCUUGCCCACAGGCCAGGCGCGGGUUUUUCCCUGGCUUCCUCCCUGCGCUGCACAAAAGAAAAGAGAUGGCAGAGUUCCCGCGGUGGCUCACUAGGUUAAGAACCCACCUAGUAUCCCUGAGGAUGUGGGUUUAAUCCCUGGCCUCGCUCAGUGGGUUAAGCAUUCAGCUUUGCUUCAGGCUGUGGUGUAGGUCACAGAUGUGGCUCAGAUCUGGCGUUGCUGUGACUGCGGCCCAGGCCAGCAGCCGCAGCUCCAAUUCCACCCCACCCCAGCCUGGAAACUUCCAUAAGCCUCGGGUGUCACCGUAAAAAGAAAAAAGAAAAAAGAAAUAAAAUAGAUGGCACGAACUCCCUCUCUGUAGCUGACAAAGUUAAAAGACUGGUAAAGAAAGCCUAAUGCAUAUUCGGAGACAGUGGCCAAAAGGCUGAAUUUCUCCCUGUGGCCUCAGGAGAAAUGAGUGUCCUUGUUGACAGGCAAAGGGACAUCUGAAUUGUCCAGAGGCAGCGACUCGUCCCUGGAAGCCUGGCGCUGAGCUGCUGUGAUAACAGGAUUAUCAGCCUGACCUCCAGACAGCACUGGCAAAGGCUGCCAGCUCCUCUGGGCCGCAUCUGUCACUGCCGCCUAUGUCCCUCUGCACACGCCUCAGCCCCAGGAGCAGUCAUAAGCAUAGAGAGCUAGCGUGACCUCUGCGGAGCACAAGGAGGGAUGUGGCCCCCUCUUCCUGGACUCCUUCUGGAAUCACUAAUGGGCCCUGCUGUCUGCAGGCGGGACAGGGUGGUGGCCGUGGCGAGCAUGGUCAGGUGUUUUAGGGACCUUCUUGUCCAAACGUGCCCUCACGGGGAUCUCAGUGACCUGCUCAAAGUCCCUCCAGCCCCAGCUCCAGUGGUUUCUUUAACUCGUUCCCCAGUCGCUCAAGGAACAGGAUCACAGGGCACGUUAGGUUUCCAGCGGGCGUGAGCCGCCCCCUCCCUCCUGCCCAAGUUGGGGUUCUGUCCUGGCUGUUCAGUGAAGGCCACGAGAGCGGACCUCCUCGCUGGAGUCUUGUGUCCAAGCCCUGUGCCAGGUUUACUCCUUCCAAGUUCAGAGCACCUUUGCUCCAAGACACAGGUCAAGAGCCAGAAGCUUGGAGCAUCGGAAUAACUUGGCCGAGGCCACACAGCGCCAACGUGAUGCGCAGGUUGAACCUGAGCCUUACAGUUCUGAAGCCAGGCUCUUUCAGGAACACGUUCUGCCUUCAGUGGUUGGGUGGCAUUUCCAGGGCACACUGAAACCAGGCCCUGAGUCUACAGAGGCCGUUUCUCAAGGUCCCCUGUCCUGGUGUGGCCUGGGUCAGCUCUGGCUUCUGCAGGUGGAAGUCUCUGACAGCCUUUGGGGGGGAGGGGUGUUGCUCAUCCCCCUCCCUGCCCAGGCUUCAGGGGUGGGGGUUCUUGUGGCCUGUCCCCCCCCCCAAAGUUGAACACAAGCCUCUUUGCAUGGCCAGAGAAGUUUCCAGAGACCAGAUUUCUCAGGACACAUGCAGAAGGGUCCUGGAGCCCCACAGAGGGGCCUCCACGAGGCAUGAGGUUCAUGCAGCCAGAGUAGAUGACAGCCCUGGGAUGGCCUGUGUUGCAGGCUGGGCCCCCGCCCUGGCUUCUGGUCUUGCGCCGAGCCCCAGGGUGCUCCCGAGCUGGCCGGGAUGAAUGCUGCUGUCUCAGACCCCAGCCUGGGGCACCGAUGUGGCUUCUCCUGGGUGGGGCUGGCCCCUGAGCCCACCUUGGCUUGAUGAGCUGGGGCUGUAGAAGGAGGGGCUUGCCUCUUUAGCAUCUGCUCCUCAGAGAAGGGGUCCUACAUUUGCUGGAACGUUCCCUGUCCUUGCUGCUCUGCACGCCCCUCCAUUGCCCCUCUGCAAACCGUGAUCCCGCACCUGUGUGUUCACUUGCUUUAUGAGGUUAGGAGCUGCGGUCCCAGGGGCCUUGGAGGAGUGGCCAGGCCAGACGACACUUCAGCUGGUGGUGUCCCAAGGGGAUUCUGCCUCUAGAGGUACCUCGAGAGAUCAGCACUCUGCAGGGUCCUUCUCUGUGGUUCCUGCCCCUCCCCUUUUCCAAGGGAUCAAGGUCAGGAAGCAAAUGAGAUUCCCUGGUCCCCAUCUCCCUCCCACCCCCCACCCAGAGAAAGAUGCUUUUAUGUCCUUUCAGGCGUUCCCCAGGAGCCGAGGAAGAAAGGCAGGGAAGACAGGCUAGGACCACUUGGCUGGAGAAACAACAGGCCAUUUUCCAGCUGGAUCUAAAUGAAAGAUUUGGCAGCCUGCCAGCCCACAGCAUCCGCCAGAAUCCCUCCCUGGGGACUGGCGAGACUCAGCCGCUAUCUGCAGUGCCGCCUGCGCCUUCCAGACGAAGGGUCCUCCCCUCCUCCCUGAGCUUGACCUUCCCGCUGUUAUUAGCACAAGUGACUUCUGAGAUUAGACUUUGAGCAUUUUCUUUCCCUUUUUUGUGGGGGAGGGGGGAGCAGGGACACGGGCCAGGGACAAAGCAGUGCAAACCUUUGCGAAUAAAGGGAGGAAAGGCCCCCUGCCACCGCCCCUGAGAGAGAAAACAAAACGGCAGUUACAAUGGAGUGGUCAAAAGUACCCAAAAUUGGAGUUCCCGUUGUGGCUCAGCAGGUUAAAAACCCAAUGUAGAGUCCAUGAAGAGGCAGGUUCAAUCCCUGGCCUCGCUCAGUGGGUUAAGGAGCCAGCAUUGCUGAGAGCCCUGUGGGGUAGGUCGCAGGUGUGGCUCAGAUCUGGAGUUGCUGUGGCUGUGGCGUAGGCUGGCAGCUGCCCCUCUGAUUCAAACCACAGCCCAGGAACCCCCAUAUGCCACAGGUGCAGCUGUAAAAAGAAACAGGGAAAAAAUACCUACAAUUGACUACAUAAAUUUUGGAAUAUAAUUCUGCAUUGUUUGUACUGAGUCACGGUAAAAGUCAUACAUUUUUGGUAAAGAUAGAUCAUAAAAGCAGAGAAAGCCCUAGGGAGGCUGGAAGAGGCUACACCCUUCCGGGGGGUGGGGGGGGGGCAGUAGCUGGCUCCUGCCCUUUGAGCAUCGUGCAGGCUCGCACCUGCCCAGACCUCUCCAACCAAGCCUUUGACGAGGUCCAUUCUCCACUCCUGGCUUCUUGUGCAACCUGUCUUGCUGCCUUCCGGGAGGAGGGUUGAGACUCGUGCUGGCUUGGGAAUAAAUCCUGCCAGUCAGAGGAGGCACAUUUGCAAGGAAUUCAUGUCCCACUGCUGCCAGGGAACUCCAGAGCCUUCCUUCCACACCAAGCCCCCCCCCCACGUUGCUGAGCAGCCCCAGGGGCCCCCGAGUCUGUCUCCUCAGCCAUCUGACAAACUGGACAACCACCAAAUGUACAGUCAUAGCGUUGUCCCAGCAAUCCAGAUAGUUCUGCCUGGGGCCCUGGAAACUGGCAGGAAGGGCCCUUCCAAAUGUUUAUACUUGAGGAGUUCCCAUCGUGGCUCAGUGGUAACAAACCCAACUCGUAUCCAUGAGGAUGCAGGUUCAAUCCCUGGCCUUGCUCAGCGGGUUAAGGAUCUGGCACUGCUAUGGCUGUGGUGUAGGUUGGCAGCUCAGCUCAGAUUCAACCCCUAGCCUGGGAAAUUCCGUAUGCUGCAGGUGUGGCCCUAAAAAAAAAAAAAAAAAAAAAAAAAA